rnacentral:rRNA from 1 species
CGGUAAUUCCAGCUCCAAUAGCGUAUAUUAAAGUUGUUGCCGUUAAAAAGCUCGUAGUCGAACUUCGGUCUUUGCCGCCCGGUCCGCCCUAUGGGUGUGUACUGGAGCGGUGGAGGCUUACCUCGUGGUGAACGGCCAUGCUCUUUACUGGGUGUGGUCGGGAACCAUGAUUUUUACUUUGAAAAAAUUAGAGUGUUCAAAGCAGGCUUACGCCCGAAUACAUUAGCAUGGAAUAAUAAAAUAGGACGUGCGGUUCUAUUUUGUUGGUUUCUAGAAUCGCCGUAAUGAUUAAUAGGGAUAGUUGGGGGCAUUCGUAUUCAAUUGCUAGAGGUGAAAUUCUUGGAUUUAUUGAAGACGAACUACUGCGAAAGCAUUUGCCAAGGAUGUUUUCAUUGAUCAAGAACGAAGGUUAGGGGAUCGAAAACGAUCAGAUACCGUUGUAGUCUUAACAGUAAACGAUGCCGACUAGGGAUCGGACGAGGAUUUUUAAUGACUCGUUCGGCACCUGAAGAGAAAUCUUUAAGUCUAGGUUCGGGGGGGAGUAUGGUCGCAAGGCUGAAACUUAAAGGAAUUGACGGAAGGGCACCACCAGGUGUGGAGCCUGCGGCUUAAUUUGACUCAACACGGGGAAACUCACCAGGUCCAGACACGACAAGGAUUGACAGAUUGAUAGCUCUUUCUUGAUUUCGUGGUUGGUGGUGCAUGGCCGUUCUUAGUUGGUGGAGUGAUUUGUCUGGUUAAUUCCGAUAACGAACGAGACCUUAACCUGCUAAAUAGCCCGGCCGACUUUGGUUGGUCGCUGGCUUCUUAGAGGGACUAUCAGCGUUUAGCUGAUGGAAGUUUGAGGCAAUAACAGGUCUGUGAUGCCCUUAGAUGUUCUGGGCCGCACGCGCGCUACACUGACCGAACCAGCGAGUUUAUCACCUUGGCCGGAAGGCCUGGGUAAUCUUGUGAAACUCGGUCGUGAUGGGGAUAGAGCAUUGCAAUUAUUGCUCUUCAACGAGGAAUACCUAGUAAGCGUGAGUCAUCAGCUCGCGUUGAAUUCGUCCCUGCCCUUUGUACACACCGCCCGUCGCUACUACCGAUUGAAUGGCUUAGUGAGGUCUCCGGAUUGGCUUCUGGGAGCCGGCAACGGCACCUAGUCGCUGAGAAGUUGAACGAACUUGGUCAUUUAGAGGAAGUAAAAGUCGUAACAAGGUAGCCG